GUGGGGAAUAUUGGGCAAUGGGCGAAAGCCUGACCCAGCAACGCCGCGUGAAGGAAGAAGGUCUUCGGAUCGUAAACUUCUAUCCUUGGUGAAGAUAAUGACGGUAGCCGAGAAGGAAGCCCCGGCUAACUACGUGCCAGCAGCCGCGGUAAUACGUAGGGGGCAAGCGUUGUCCGGAAUGAUUGGGCGUAAAGGGCGCGUAGGCGGCCUGGUAAGUCUGGAGUGAAAGUCCUGCUUUUAAGGUGGGAAUUGCUUUGGAUACUGUCGGGCUUGAGUGCAGGAGAGGUAAGUGGAAUUCCCGGUGUAGCGGUGAAAUGCGUAGAGAUCGGGAGGAACACCAGUGGCGAAGGCGACUUACUGGACUGUAACUGACGCUGAGGCGCGAAAGUGUGGGGAGCAAACAGGAUUAGAUACCCUAGUAGUCC
rnacentral:rRNA from 1 species